GCUGUUAAGGGUUCGUAGUUGGGGCAAGAGACUUAGGUUAGGCCUCGCGGUCCCCGGACCAUUGAGGCACUUGCCUUGCUCGUUAAAGACGGAACAGAGCUCCUGCGGAUACCCUCUCGGGGGUUGUGCACAUCCGCAUUCAUCGUGCAGGGAGCAUCCGUCGUAUCACUGUGAACAAACAGCGUGUCCAAAGCAGCCUUAUUGGCUGAAUGCAAAAGCAUGGAAUGACAAGGGAUCGCCAUUGGUGCUAACCCCCUUGUUGGUUUAUGAAGCCCAAAGGAGAGACGAGUUUGUGCGUCUAGCGUGUUCAGAUGGUAAAGGUUCGCCCUGACCGGACGUCGCGUAAGGCCGCUGCUCGCUGGGAUCAACAGGGGCUGUCGGGGGAAGACGUAUGGGAAUGCGAGAGGUGAAAUUCUGUGCCAUUCCCAGACGAACCGAUGCGAAGGCUUCUUCCAAGUAUGCCUUCAUUAAUCAGAACCAAAGCGUGGAGAUCGAAGAUGAUUAGAGACCAUUGUAGUCC
rnacentral:rRNA from 1 species